CUGUCAUCAGGAGAGCUAGGCUGCUGGAAUUUCACACGUAAGAAGGGCCUGUCAGAGUCUUAGGUCUGCUGCACUGGUCAGUUUUCUGGAAGAAUCAGAGCUCUCAUCAGGGGCCAAGAAGUUGACCUCAAAAGCACCCUCCUGCUCUUGGAGGAAUGUCAGCAGAAGAAAAUCCAGACUGGAAGAACGACAGCCGGGCAAACAGGGGGUCAGCAGAUCUCAGGACACCUGGGGUCCUGCCCCACCUGACUAUGGUCUUUACACUACCACCUCUCGCUGCCCCCACUCCCACAUCUGUGCUUUCCAUCCUUACUGAACUGAUACUUGCCACUCCCUCUGACCUUUCCUAGUCCCAGUCCAAAAAUCAAACUCUUCCAGAAACUUUCCUGAUCAUGUAAACCAGAAAGGAUUCAUGCCAUCUCAAGCUUUAAACUCUUCGGUCUCA